GCACUGUCUUCUUGAGAUCAGCUUCGCUUGCGAAGAAUCGACGUGCUACAGCCUUCUUAUCAGCCUGAGCAAUGCGGCGACUGAUUGACUGGCCAAGCUGCCACAAACUUCCUCCUCUCAUGUUUAGAUGAGAAAAUUCUGAAGAUGCUCUGCUUCUUGACGAAAGACAACCAAAUCACGGAGCCCAGAAGGGCAUAGCAAUGCACGAGGCUGGUGAUAGAAAAGAGGAUGUCUUUAUAUGAUAUGGUGGACAAUUAACAAAAGGGCCGGUCUAUAUUUUUUUUCUUUUUGGGUUGGUGAGGCAGAGUGCGUAGUGGGUGGAGGAGGGUUCCUCUGCCCAGAUCAAAA